rnacentral:rRNA from 1 species
UUGCACGCUGGCGGCAUGCCUUACACAUGCAAGUCGAACGGCAGCACGGGUGCUUGCACCUGGUGGCGAGUGGCGAACGGGGGAGUAAUACAUCGGAACAUGUCCUGUAGUGGGGGAUAGCCCGGCGAAAGCCGGAUUAAUACCGCAUACGAUCCACGGAUGAAAGCGGGGGACCUUCGGGCCUCGCGCUAUAGGGUUGGCCGAUGGCUGAUUAGCUAGUUGGUGGGGUAAAGGCCUGCCAAGGCGACGAUCAGUAGCUGGUCUGAGAGGACGACCAGCCACACUGGGACUGAGACACGGCCCAGACUCCUACGGGAGGCAGCAGUGGGGAAUUUUGGACAAUGGGCGAAAGCCUGAUCCAGCAAUGCCGCGUGUGUGAAGAAGGCCUUCGGGUUGUAAAGCACUUUUGUCCGGAAAGAAAUCCUUGACUCUAAUACAGUCGGGGGAUGACGGUACCGGAAGAAUAAGCACCGGCUAACUACGUG